rnacentral:rRNA from 1 species
UACGAAGGGUGCAAACGUUGCUCGGAAUUAUUGGGCGUAAAGAGCUCGUAGGCGGUUUGUCGCGUCUGCUGUGAAAACCUAAGGCUCAACCUUGGGCUUGCAGUGGGUACGGGCAGACUAGAGUGCGGUAGGGGUGACUGGAAUUCCUGGUGUAGCGGUGGAAUGCGCAGAUAUCAGGAGGAACACCGAUGGCGAAGGCAGGUCACUGGGCCGCAACUGACGCU